rnacentral:rRNA from 1 species
GAUGAACGCUGGCGGCGUGCCUAAUACAUGCAAGUCGAACGAAACUUCUUUAUCACCGAGUGCUUGCACUCACCGAUAAAGAGUUGAGUGGCGAACGGGUGAGUAACACGUGGGCAACCUGCCCAAAAGAGGGGGAUAACACUUGGAAACAGGUGCUAAUACCGCAUAACCAUAGUUACCGCAUGUUAACUAUGUAAAAGGUGGCUAUACUACCGCUUUUUGAUGGUCCCGCGGCGCAUUAGCUAGUUGGUAGGGUAAAGGCUUACCAAGGCAAUGAUGCGUAGCCGAAUUGAGAGGUUGAUCGGCCACAUUGGGACUGAGACACGGCCCAAACUCCUAAGGGAGGCAGCAGUAGGGAAUCUUCCACAAUGGGCGAAAGCCUGAUGGAGCAACGCCGCGUGGGUGAAGAAGGUCUUCGGAUCGUAAAACCCUGUUGUUAGAGAAGAAAGUGCGUGAGAGUAACUGUUCACGUUUCGACGGUAUCUAACCAGAAAGCCACGGCUAACUACGUG